rnacentral:rRNA from 1 species
CCUACGGGUGGCAGCAGUGAGGAGUAUUGGUCAAUGGGCGCGAGCCUGAACCAGCCAAGUAGCGUGAAGGAUGACUGCCCUACGGGUUGUAAACUUCUUUUGUGCGGGAGCAAUAAUGGUCACGUGUGGCCAGACGAGAGUACCGUACGAAUAAGCAUCGGCUAACUCCGUGCCAGCAGCCGCGGUAAUACGGGGGAUGCAAGCGUUAUCCGGAUUUAUUGGGUUUAAAGGGUGCGUAGGCUGUGAGGUAAGUCAGCGGUGAAAUGCCCCCGCUCAACGGGGUGAAGUGCCAUUGAUACUGCCUUGCUGGAAUGCGGAUGCGGUAGGAGGAAUGUGUGGUGUAGCGGUGAAAUGCAUAGAUAUCACACAGAACACCAGUGGCGAAGGCAGCUUACUGGACUGUAACUGACGUUGAGGCUCGAAAGCGUGGGGAGCAAACAGGAUUAGAUACCCCUGUAGUC